rnacentral:sRNA from 1 species
UCUAGCUCAAUUUUGAAAUUUCCCGGGUUACUGUAGCGCCAAAAGUACGCAAACACCGAC